rnacentral:rRNA from 1 species
UGUUAAGUUCAAGCUCCGAUUGUGAGGGCGAAACCGCGAAUGGCUCAUUAAAUCAGUCAUAAUCUACUUGAUGGUUUGAGAUUAGAUGGAUAACUGUGGUAAUUCUAGAGCUAAUACAUGUGCAAAGGGGGCGACUUCGGAAGCCUCGCGUUUAUUAGACUAAGACCGGCGAAGCGGCAACGCUUCUCUCUUAAGGUGACUCUGAGUAAAUAACGGGUGAAAGCCCGUGGUGCCGACCUGGAUCUAGGCCUCCGGGCCGCCAGGCGCGUCAAUCGAGUGUCUGCUCUAUCAACUGUGGAUGGUAGGGUAAUUGCCUACCAUGGUGGUGACGGGUAACGGGGAGUUAGGGCUCGACUCCGGAGAACAAGCCUGAGAAACGGCUAGUAGGACUAAGGUCUGCAGCAGGCGCGAAACUUACACAAUGCUAGAUUAAAAUUAGCGAUGUAGUGAAGAAAAAUAACGAUGCGCUUUCAUUAAAACAUGAUAGCGCAAUUGGAAUGAGACGACUACAAACCAGUUAGUCGAGUAACAAAUGGAGGGCAAGUCUGGUGCCAGCAGCCGCGGUAAUUCCAGCUCCAUUAGCAUACAUUAAAGUUGUUGCGGUUAAAAAGCUCGUAGUUGAAUUUAGGGCGAGCCUGUGGCGGGGCGGUCGCGAAGGGUCGCAGACUCCGGUCUCGGCCUGGCCGCUCGCUGCCGUAGGGCUCGCUGUUUCGUCACUUAAUCGAGUGCGAAGCGGGGUCGGAUCGCACCUCCGGGUGUCCGAUGCGACCAGGUUUACCUUGAGAAAAUUAGAGUGCUCACGGCAGGCAGUUGGCGUGUAAAAGCGCCUUUAUGCUUGAAUAAUGUUGCAUGGAAUAAUAGAAUACGGCCUCGGUUCUAUUCUGUUGGUCUUAUAGAACAACAAACAAGUUGGUUUGGGCGUCAAGGGGGUCUAGUUGGUGGGGCUCGCGUUGCGCUUGUUGCCUGGGGGUAAAACCUCAGCGCCAUCGCAGCGCGCAGCUAUCCAAACUACCCUCCAGACCUCCGCCCAUCAGCCAACUGAGGCAAUGGUUAAAAGAAAUAGUCGCGGCGGCAUCAGUACUGCAUCGUGAGAGGUGAAAUUCUUAGACCGAUGCAAGACUAACUGAAGCGAAAGCGUUUGCCGAGGAUAUUUUCAUUAAUCAAGAACGAAAGUUAGAGGUUCGAAGGCGAUCAGAUACCGCCCUAGUUCUAACCAUAAACGUUGCCAACUAGCAAUUGGGUUGCGAUUCCUUUAGAUGGACAGGGGCUAACCCCCCUGCCUCCAUCCAUUAUGAUCCACCCAGCGGCUCUCGUAGGGAAACCAAAGUGUUUGGGUUCCGGGGGAAGUAUGAUUGCAAAGUUGAAACUUAAAGGAAUUGACGGAAGGGCACCACCAGGAGUGGAGCCUGCGGCUUAAUUUGACUCAACACGGGGAAACUUACUAGAUUAGAACUCUGGAAUGAUUGACAGAUUGAUAGCUCUUUCUUGAUUCAGAGGAUGGUGGUGCAUGGCCGUUCUUGAUUCGUAUUCCGAAACGUCUGCUUAAUUGCGAUAACGAGUGAGACCUCAGCCAACUAACUAGUCGCUCGGCGCGCUGUUUGGGCGCUCAAGUUUGCAAGCGGAGAGUUGCAGGGAAGGGUCAAACUGGAACUGUGGACGCCGCUGGCAAAUGCCCUCUGCUCGCCGGCGGACUUCUUAGAGGGAUAAACGGUGUUUUAGCCGUAAGAAACGAGGCAAUAACAGGUCUGUGAUGCCCUUAGAUACUCUAGGCCGCACGCGUGCUACAAUGGCGUGUGCAGAAAGCUUGUUCGAGGUUCGUCCAGAGAGAACUGCGCGUUUGGCUUGGAUUGUAGCAAUAUGACUCAGGUCGGCGCGUAAGUGACUUUGGUUCGCGGGCCGAGAGAAACCGACCUCGAGAGAGGCCGGCAAUCAUAAAUACACGCCGUGAUUUGGGAUUGGGGAUUGCAAUUGUUGCCCAUGAACGAGGAAUUCCCAGUAAGCGCAAUUCAUCAUAUUGCGUUGAUUACGUCCCUGCCCUUUGUACACACCGCCCGUCGCUACUACCGAUUGGAAGUUUUAGUGAGGCAUUUGGACCUGCUGUCUGCGGAGGGGGCAACUCCUCUUGGACGGCGGGGAAGUCUGUCGAACUCAAAUUUCUAGAGGAAGUAAAAGUCGUAACAAGGUUUCCGU